rnacentral:rRNA from 1 species
GAUGAACGCUGGCGGCGUGCCUAAUACAUGCAAGUCGAGCGAACGGACGAGAAGCUUGCUUCUCUGAUGUUAGCGGCGGACGGGUGAGUAACACGUGGAUAACCUACCUAUAAGACUGGGAUCACUUCGGGAAACCGGAGCUCAUACCGGAUAAUAUUUUGAACCGCAUGGUUCAACAGUGAAAGCCGGUCUUGCUGUCACUUAUAGAUGGAUCCGCGCUGCAUUAGCUAGUUGGUAAGGUAACGGCUUACCAAGGCAACGAUGCUUAGCCGACCUGAGAGGGUGAUCGGCCACACUGGAACUGAGACACGGUCCGAACUCCUACGGGAGGCAGCAGUAGGGAAUCUUCGUCGAUGGGCGAAAGCCUGACCGAGCAAGGCCGCGUGAGUGAUGAAGGUCUUCGGAUCGUAAAACUCUGUAAGUAGGGAAGAACAUUUGUAAAAGUAACUGUGCGCAUCUUGACGGUACCAAAUAAGAAAGCCACGGCUAACUACGUG